rnacentral:rRNA from 1 species
CCGCCACGGAGGUGCUGCAAGGCUGUCGUCAGCUCGUGUCGUGAGAUGUUGGGUUAAGUCCCGCAACGAGCGCAACCCUUAUCCCUAGUUGCCAUCGGGUCAAGCCGGGCACUCUAGUGAAACCGCCCCGGAUAACGGGGAGGAAGGUGGGGAUGACGUCAAGUCCUCAUGGCCUUUAUGUCCAGGGCUACACACGUGCUACAAUGACCGGUACAAACCGUCGCAAACCCGCGAGGGGGAGCUAAUCGGAAAAAGCCGGCCCCAGUUCGGAUUGCAGUCUGCAACUCGACUGCAUGAAGCUGGAAUCGCUAGUAAUCGCAGAUCAGCACGCUGCGGUGAAUACGUUCCCGGGCCUUGU